ensembl:snRNA U1 U1 spliceosomal RNA
AUACUUACCUGGCUGGGAGAUGCCAUGACCACGAAGGUGGUUUUCCCCGGGGCGAGGCUUAUCCACUGCACUCUGGGCGUGCUGACCCUGCGAUCUCCCCAAUAUGGGAAACACUACUGCAUAAUGUGUGGUAGAGGGGGCUGCGUAACUUACUAAUUAUAUGUGUAUAUUCUCUGA